UCCUCCCUCAUCUCUUCUUGUAUUGUGAAACACAGGAAGUGUCUGAUUUCACACAGCACUGUUCAAACAGUCUGUUAAUGUGUCAGUAUGGGCUCCAGUGCACUGUCUCUCACACUCUUGCUGAUAUCCCUCAUCAGCUCUGGACUCACUCAAGAUUCACCCAGAUCUACUCUGACUGUGACUCCAG